AGAGUUUGAUCAUGGCUCAGGAUGAACGCUAGCUACAGGCUUAACACAUGCAAGUCGAGGGGCAGCAUGUUGGUUGCUUGCAACCAACGAUGGCGACCGGCGCACGGGUGAGUAACGCGUAUCCAACCUACCCUUGUCCAUCGGAUAACCCGUCGAAAGGCGGCCUAACACGAUAUGCGGUUCACGGCAGGCAUCUAAGGUGAACGAAAUGUGAAGGAGAAGGAUGGGGAUGCGUCUGAUUAGCUUGUUGGCGGGGUAACGGCCACCAAGGCUACGAUCAGUAGGGGUUCUGAGAGGAAGGUCCCCACAUUGGAACUGAGACACGGUCCGAAACCUACCUACGGAGGGCA
rnacentral:rRNA from 1 species